rnacentral:rRNA from 1 species
UACGUAGGUGACAAGCGUUAUCCGGAAUUACUGGGCGUAAAGCGCACGCAGGCGGCGCAUUAAGUCUGAUGUGAAAUCUCCCGGCUUAACUGGGAGGGGUCAUUGGAAACUGAUGUGCUCGAGGCGGUGAGAGGGGUGUAGAAUUCCCGGUGUAGUGGUGGAAUGCGUAGAUAUCCGGAGGAACACCAGCGGCGAAGGCGGCAUCCUGGACUGGUCCUGACACUCAGGAGCGAAAGCGUGGGGAGCGAUCCGG